GAUGAACGCUGGCGGCGUGCCUAAUACAUGCAAGUCGAGCGAACUGAUUAGAAGCAUGCUUAUAUGACGUUAGAGGCGGACGGGCGAGUAACGCGUGGGCAACCUGCCUGCAAGACUGGGAUAACUUCGGGAAACCGGAGCUAAUAGCGGAUAGGAUCUUCUCCUUGUUGGGAGAUGAUUGAAAGAUGGUUUCGGCUAGCACUUACAGCUGGUACCGCGGUGAAGUAGCUAGUUGGUGAGGUAACGGCACCCCAAGGCAACGAUGCAUAGCGGACCGGGGAGGGUGAUCGUCCACACUGGGACUGAGACACGGCCCAGACUCCUAGGGGAGGCAGCAGUAGGGAAUCUUCCGCAAUGGACGAAAGUCUGACGGAGCAACGCCGCGUGAGUGAUGAAGGCUUUCGGGUCGUAAAACUCUGUUGUUAGGGAAGAACAAGUACAAGAGUAACUGCUUGUACCUGGGCGGUACCUAAGCAGAAAGCCACGGCUAACUACGUGCCAGCCGCCGCCGUAAGAC
rnacentral:rRNA from 1 species